rnacentral:rRNA from 1 species
AUUGAACGCUGGCGGCAGGCUUAACACAUGCAAGUCGAGCGAGCGGCGGACGGGUGAGUAAUGUCUGGGACACUGCCUGAUGGAGGGGGAUAACUUCUGGAAACGGUAGCUAAUACCGCAUACCAUCAGAUGUGCCCAGAUGGGAUUAGCUAGUAGGUGGGGUAAUGGCUCACCUAGGCGACGAUCCCUAGCGGGUCUGAGAGGAUGACCGGCCACACGGGAACUGAGACACGGUCCAGACUCCUACGGUAGGCAGCAGUGGGGAAUAUUGGACAAUGGGCGCAAGCCUGAUGGAGCCAUGCCGCGGGUGUGAAGAAGGCCUUCGGGUUGUAAAGCACUGUCAGCGAGGAGGCGUUACUCGCAGAAGAAGCACCGGCUAACUCCGUGCCAGCAGCCGCGGUAAUAC